rnacentral:rRNA from 1 species
AGCGGAAACGAGUUAUCUGAACCUUCGGGGGACGAUAACGGCGUCGAGCGGCGGACGGGUGAGUAAUGCCUAGGAAAUUGCCCUGAUGUGGGGGAUAACCAUUGGAAACGAUGGCUAAUACCGCAUAAUGCCUACGGGCCAAAGAGGGGGACCUUCGGGCCUCUCGCGUCAGGAUAUGCCUAGGUGGGAUUAGCUAGUUGGUGAGGUAAUGGCUCACCAAGGCGACGAUCCCUAGCUGGUCUGAGAGGAUGAUCAGCCACACUGGAACUGAGACACGGUCCAGACUCCUACGGGAGGCAGCAGUGGGGAAUAUUGCACAAUGGGCGCAAGCCUGAUGCAGCCAUGCCGCGUGUGUGAAGAAGCCUUCGGGUUGUAAAGCACUUUCAGUCGUGAGGAAGGUAGUGUAGUUAAUAGCUGCAUUAUUUGACGUUAGCGACA